GACGAACGCUGGCGGCGUGCUUAACACAUGCAAGUCGAACGAUGAAGCCUAGCUUGCUAGGUGGAUUAGUGGCGAACGGGUGAGUAAUACGUGAGUAACCUACCUUUAACUCUGGGAUAAGCCUGGGAAACUGGGUCUAAUACCGGAUACGACCAAUCUCCGCAUGGAGUGUUGGUGGAAAGCGUUAUGUAGUGGUUAUAGAUGGGCUCACGGCCUAUCAGCUUGUUGGUGAGGAAACGGCUCACCAAGGCGACGACGGGUAGCCGGCCUGAUAGGGUGACCGGCCACACUGGGACUGAGACACGGCCCAAACUCCUACUGGAGGCAGCAGUGGGGAAUAUUGUACUUGGGCGCAAGCCCGAUGCACCUACGCCUCUUGAGGGUUCAACGCCUUCGGGUGCCAACCUCCGUUACUUUGGCAGUGAACACGUCUUUAUUUUGCGCCUCCUCUCACCCGCUCCCUAUAUGUCCUCUC
rnacentral:rRNA from 1 species